rnacentral:rRNA from 1 species
AUUGAACGCUGGCGGCAUGCCUUACACAUGCAAGUCGAACGGUAACGGGCCUUCGGGCGCCGACGAGUGGCGAACGGGUGAGUACUGCAUCGGAAUGUACCCAGUAGUGGGGGAUAACUAGUCGAAAGACUAGCUAAUACCGCAUACGCACUGAGGUGGAAAGCGGGGGAUCGCAAGACCUCGCGCUAUUGGAGCAGCCGAUGCCCGAUUAGGUAGUUGGUGGGGUAAAAGCCUACCAAGCCGACGAUCGGUAACUGGUCUGAGAGGACGACCAGUCACACUGGGACUGAGACACGGCCCAGACUCCUACGGGAGGCAGCAGUGGGGAAUUUUGGACAAUGGGGGAAACCCUGAUCCAGCAAUGCCGCGUGUGUGAAGAAGGCCUUCGGGUUGUAAAGCACUUUUGGCGGGAACGAAACGGCGCUGGUUAAUACCUGGCGCUAAUGACGGUACCCGCAGAAUAAGCACCGGCUAACUACGUGCCAGCAGCCGCGGUAAGCUCGUCUCUA